rnacentral:rRNA from 1 species
GAUCAUGGCUCAGGAUGAACGCUAGCUACAGGCUUAACACAUGCAAGUCGAGGGGAAACGACAUCGAAAGCUUGCUUUGAUGGGCGUCGACCGGCGCACGGGUGAGUAACGCGUAUCCAACCUGCCCACCACUUGGGGAUAACCUUGCGAAAGUAAGACUAAUACCCAAUGACAUCCCACGAAGACAUCUGAAUAGGGAUUAAAGAAUUUAUCGGUGAUAGGAGUGGGGAUGCGUCUGAUUAG